rnacentral:rRNA from 1 species
AGAACGAACGCUGGCGGCAUGCCUAAUACAUGCAAGUCGAACGAACUCUUCGGAGUUAGUGGCGCACGGGUGCGUAACGCGUGGGAAUCUGCCCUUGGGUUCGGAAUAACAGUUGGAAACGACUGCUAAUACCGGAUGAUGACGAAAGUCCAAAGAUUUAUCGCCCAGGGAUGAGCCCGCGUAGGAUUAGCUAGUUGGUGAGGUAAAGGCUCACCAAGGCGACGAUCCUUAGCUGGUCUGAGAGGAUGAUCAGCCACACUGGGACUGAGACACGGCCCAGACUCCUACGGGAGGCAGCAGUAGGGAAUAUGGACAAUGGCGAAAGCUGAUCAGCAAUGCGCGUGAGUGAUGAAGGCCUUAGGUUGUAAAGCUCUUUUACCCGAGAUGAUAAUGACUGUACCGGAGAAUAAGCCCCGGCUAACUCCGUGCCCAGCAGCCGAC